GUGCGCAGCAGCCGCGGUAAUACCGGCAGCCCGAGUGAUGGCCGAUCUUAUUGGGCCUAAAGCGUCCGUAGCUGGCUGCGCAAGUCCGUCGGGAAAUCCACUCGCCCAACGAGUGGGCGUCCGACGGAAACUGCACAGCUUGGGACCGGAAGGCUCGAAGGGUACGUUCGGGGUAGGAGUGAAAUCCCAUAAUCCCGCACGGACCACCGAUGGCGAAAGCACUUCGAGAAGACGGAUCCGACAGUGAGGGACGAAAGCCUGGGUCGCCAACCGGAUUAGAUACCCUAGUAGUCC
rnacentral:rRNA from 1 species